AUCCGGCAAUAUUGCAUUCCUUGUCCGGUGGAAUCCUGAGGCUCGGGUAGGCAACUUCUCGACCAAUUUUCCAGUCGGGUCUAGUUCUAAAUGUCAGUGAAGAGAACAAGCUUGAAGCGAUCAUUAGAAACUAGCUACUCCCUAGAUGACACAAGAACACCGGCAACCAAAGCAGUGGGCGGAUGUACAGCCAACAAGGAUGGACAUCUCAUCCCCAGUGGAUUUAAAAAAAAAAAAGUUUUUAUUUACUAUCUAUCUAUACUAAUAAAGUAGAGUUUUUCUCUUCUUAAGGGGGGAAUAAUAACAAGUGUCGCUCUCUGAUUUGUUAAUACACUCGAAUUGGACUUUUUUCUAAACGUGAUUAUGUAUUUCUAAGCCCAUGUCAUUACAGAGCAACUCCAAGCCCAGAUCCUUCUUCCCUCUAGGUCUCAUCUUCUCACCAUCGCCGCCUC
rnacentral:lncRNA from 1 species